UGUAUUCACUACUGUAAGUCACUCUGGAUAAGAGCGUCUGCUAAAUGACGUAAA
rfam:Salmo salar isolate Sally breed double haploid chromosome ssa17, whole genome shotgun sequence.